GAUGAAGAACGUAGCGAAAUGCGAUAAGUAAUGCGAAUUGCAGAAUUCCGUGAGUCAUCGAAUCUUUGAACGCACAUUGCGCCCUCUGGUAUUCCGGAGGGCAUGCCUGUCUGAGCGUCAUUGUCAACCCUCAAGCUCAGCUUGCUGUUGGGUCCCCGUCGUUGCUUUAACGGCGGACCCGAAAGGUAAUGGCAGAGUCCGUGAGACCCUAGACGCAGCGAGCUUCUAGCACGCGUCUGGACGUUUUUCGGGCUCGGUCUUAACUGGAUGAUAACUUCCGAUUGACCUCAGAUCAGGUAGGGAUACCCGCUGAACUUAAGCAUAUCAAUAAGCGGAGGA
rnacentral:misc_RNA from 1 species